GGCUUAGAGUUUGAUCAUGGCUCAGGAUGAACGCUGGCGGCGUGCCUAACACAUGCAAGUCGAGCGAAGCACUUUACUCUGAAUCUUUCGGGAGGACGAGUGAUUUGACUGAGCGGCGGACGGGUGAGUAACGCGUGGGUAACCUGCCUCACACGGGGGGAUAACAGUUAGAAAUGACUGCUAAUACCGCAUAAGGCCACAGCACCGCAUGGUGCAGGGGUAAAAACUCCGGUGGUGUGAGAUGGGCCCGCGUCUGAUUAGUUAGUUGGCGGGGUAACGGCCCACCAAGGCGACGAUCAGUAGCCGACCUGAGAGGGUGACCGGCCACAUUGGGACUGAGACACGGCCCAAACUCCUACGGGAGGCAGCAGUGGGGAAUAUUGCACAAUGGGGGAAACCCUGAUGCAGCGACGCCGCGUGAGCGAAGAAGUAUUUCGGUAUGUAAAGCUCUAUCAGCAGGGAAGAAAUUGACGGUACCUGACUAAGAAGCACCGGCUAAAUACGUGCCAGCAGCCGCGGUAAUACGUAUGGUGCAAGCGUUAUCCGGAUUUACUGGGUGUAAAGGGAGCGUAGACGGAGCAGCAAGUCUGGAGUGAAAACCCGGGGCUCAACCCCGGGACUGCUUUGGAACUGUUGUUCUAGAGUGCUGGAGAGGUAAGUG
rnacentral:rRNA from 1 species